GCCGGGUGCGGUAGUUCGUGUCUGUGGUCCCAGCUACUCGGGAGGCUGAGGUGGGAGGAUCAUUUGAGCCCAGGAGUUCUGGACUGCAGUGAGCUAUGCCAAUCGGGUGUCCGCACUAAGUUCGGCAUCAAUAUGGUGACCUCCUGGGAGCAAGGGACCACUAGGCUGCCUAAGGAGGGAGGGGUGAACUGGCUCAGGUCAGAAAUGGAGCAGCUCAAAACCCCAUCAGUAGUGGGAUCGCGCCUGUGAAUAGCCGCUGCACUCCAGCCUGGGCACCAUAGUGAGACCCCGUCUCU
rnacentral:SRP_RNA from 1 species